rnacentral:rRNA from 1 species
AACGAACGUUGGCGGCACGCUUAAUACAUGCAAGUCGAACGAGAAACUUGGUUCGCCAAGUGGAAAGUGGCAGACGGUUGAGUAACGCGUGGGAAUCUACCUAGAGGUUCGGAAUAACUAUUGGAAACGAUAGCUAAUACCGGAUAAGCCCUUCGGGGGAAAGAUUUAUUGCCUUUAGAUGAGCCCGCGUCGGAUUAGCUAGUUGGUAAGGUAACGGCUUACCAAAGCUACGAUCCGUAGCUGAUCUGAGAGGAUGAUCAGCCAGAUUGGGACUGAGACACGGCCCAGACUCCUACGGGAGGCAGCAGUAGGGAAUAUUGCGCAAUGGGGGAAACCCUGACGCAGCGAUGCCGCGUGAGUGAAGAAGGCCUUAGGGUUGUAAAACUCUUUCAGUGGUGAAGAUAAUGACGGUAACCACAGAAGAAGCUCCGGCUAACU